GACGAACGCUGGCGGCGUGCUUAACACAUGCAAGUCGAGCGGUAAGGCCCUUCGGGGUACACGAGCGGCGAACGGGUGAGUAACACGUGAGCAAUCUGCCCUUCACUUUGGGAUAACCACCGGAAACGGUGGCUAAUACCGAAUAUGACCACUUCCUGCAUGGGAUGGUGGUGGAAAGUUCCGGCGGUGGAGGAUGAGCUCGCGGCCUAUCAGCUUGUUGGUGGGGUAAUGGCCUACCAAGGCAACGACGGGUAGCCGGCCUGAGAGGGUGACCGGCCACACUGGGACUGAGACACGGCCCAGACUCCUACGGGAGGCAGCAGUGGGGAAUAUUGGACAAUGGGCGAAAGCCUGAUCCAGCAACGCCGCGUGAGGGAUGACGGCCUUCGGGUUGUAAACCUCUUUCAGCAGGGACGAAGCGCAAGUGACGGUACCUGCAGAAGAAGCACCGGCCAACUACGUGCCAGCAGCCGCGGUAAUACGUAGGGUGCGAGCGUUGUCCGGAAUUAUUGGGCGUAAAGGGCUCGUAGGCGGUUUGUCGCGUCGGGAGUGAAAACACGGGGCUUAACUCCGUGCCUGCUUCCGAUACGGGCAGACUAGAGGUAUGCAGGGGAGAACGGAAUUCCUGGUGUAGCGGUGAAAUGCGCAGAUAUCAGGAGGAACACCGGUGGCGAAGGCGGUUCUCUGGGCAUUACCUGACGCUGAGGAGCGAAAGUGUGGGGAGCGAACAGGAUUAGAUACCCUGGUAGUCCACACCGUAAACGUUGGGCGCUAGGUGUGGGACUCAUUCCACGAGUUCCGUGCCGCAGCUAACGCAUUAAGCGCCCCGCCUGGGGAGUACGGCCGCAAGGCUA
rnacentral:rRNA from 1 species